rnacentral:rRNA from 1 species
UACAGAGGGUGCGAGCGUUAAUCGGAAUUACUGGGCGUAAAGCGUGCGUAGACGGUAGCGUAAGUCAGAUGUGAAAGCCCCGGGCUCAACCUGGGAACUGCAUUUGAGACUGCUCUGCUCGGGUGCGGAAGAGGGAAGCGGAAUUUCCGGUGUAGCGGUGAAAUGCGUAGAUAUCGGAAGGAACGCCGGUGGCGAAAGCGACGUGCUGGACCUCUUCUGACGCUGAGGCGCGAAAGCUAGGGGAGCAAACGGG